UACGUAGGCAGCGAGCGUUGUUCGGAGUUACUGGGCGUAAAGGGUGUGUAGGCGGUUGUUUAAGUUUGGUGUGAAAUCUCCCGGCUCAACUGGGAGGGUGCGCCGAAUACUGAAUGACUUGGAGUGCGGGAGAGGAGAGUGGAAUUCCUGGUGUAGCGGUGAAAUGCGUAGAUAUCAGGAGGAACACCGGUGGCGAAGGCGGAUCUCUGGGCCGUAACUGACGCUGAGGAGCGAAAGCAUGGGUAGCGAACAGG
rnacentral:rRNA from 1 species